rnacentral:rRNA from 1 species
ACCUGCGGAGGUCAUUAAUGAUAUAAUUGUCUCCUUCAGUGCUGGCGYMGCAUGUGCACGUUGGGGGCAUAUAUCCAACACCUUGUGAACCAUUGGCCUUUGCUGGCUUCGGCUGGUAGAGGAUUUAACAAACACGAAUGUAAUGAAAAAAUGUUGUGCUAAGCACUAAUAAACAACUUUCAACAACGGAUCUCUUGGCUCUCGCAUCGAUGAAGAACGCAGCGAAAUGCGAUAAGUAAUGUGAAUUGCAGAAUUCAGUGAAUCAUCGAAUCUUUGAACGCACCUUGCACCCUUUGGUAUUCCGAAGGGUAUGCUCGUUUGAGUGUCAUUAUACUCUCACACUUCAAAUUAGAGAGCGGUGGACUUGGAUUGCCUGACUUGCUGUGGCUCGUCUAAAAUGAGUUAGUACGACUCCUAGUUAAACAUAGUACGGCGUUAUAACUAAACCCUCGCUGCUGUCUGAUUAGGAGCUUGUGCUUCCAACCGUCUUCGGACAAUAUUUGAUAACUUGACCUCAAAUCGAGUAGGAUUACCCGCUGAACUUAAGCAUAUCAAUAAGCGGAGGA